rnacentral:rRNA from 1 species
UACGAAGGGGGCUAGCGUUGCUCGGAAUCACUGGGCGUAAAGCGCACGUAGGCGGCACUAUUAGUCAGGGGUGAAAUCCUGGAGCUCAACUCCAGAACUGCCUUUGAUACUGGGGAUCUCGAGUCCGGAAGAGGUGAGUGGAACUCCGAGUGUAGAGGUGAAAUUCGUAGAUAUUCGGAAGAACACCAGUGGCGAAGGCGGCUCACUGGUCCGGUUCUGACGCUGAGGCGCGAAAGCGUGGGGAGCAAACAGG